ensembl:lncRNA
GGUGCAUUUAAUUAUGCAACAGAGCCUCGGCCGCAGGGAGGUGCUGAUUGGGCUGGCAAGCCCCGGGCACGGCGGAUGGUGGCCGGGCACAGGGGACGAGCCAGGGCCACUCGCGCAGGGAGCAGAGGCAGGGCCGAGGGCCGAGGAGGAGCUCCCCACCCCGGGGCAGCAGCGGGGCCCGGAGGAGCAGGGCCCGGAGGAGCAGGGCCCGCAGCAUGACAGAAGAAGCCCCCGCAGGUGCCACCAUGCCGGCCUGCAAUGGCAGCGUCCCCCCGGGGGACGGCCCGCUCCAGGUCAUCGGUGGCAUCCAAGAAAUCGCAAAAUCUCUCGGGACGGUCCCGUACGCAAACGAGGAGACGAGCCCUGACACCUCACCUGCAAGGGAAAAUCCGGAGGAAAAUAGGAAUUCAUUGGCAGAGGACACCACUCCUGAGAAUUGUGCUGGAGAGAAGCGAUGCCAAGAAAAGCGAGAGGAGAGCGUUGGGACACUACAGCAGGGAGCAGCGGAUAUCCAGGACACAGGGACCAGUGGCCAGGGAUCAGGGGAAGGUAAUGCCAAAUGCCAAAUGCCAUCUGCUCCGGGGUUUCCCUGAUGUGCAUCAAAGAGACAAUGGAUGCAGGUGGUGAUUAUCUUGUUUAAACUGGGUCAGACCCUUCUAUCCCAGAGAGCAGGGACUCAUUUCCCACCUGUGAGCUGCUGCACCUUAGAAACCAGAACGGGUAUGUUCCUUGCUGAGGUUUUACAUAACUCACUGACCAUGGGCUACUCAAGCACUGUGGGGUCUUCAGCCAGGAGGUCCCCAACAGCCUCAUGAGGCUUAGAGAUACUCUAUCUUCUGCGCCACGCUCAGAGGAGAACCCUGUGAGGCUGCUGGUGGUCACAAAACCCAAAUCCUUUUUUUGCCUGAUUCACCAAGUGUUGAAUCCCUCAGUACCCAAGUAUCCACAUAAAAUCUCUGAGCAGCUGCUCCUGGGUCUUGCUCUGCUCAUUUCUGAGUGGAAAUGGUGGGACUGAGCAGGAGCCAAGGCUGGAGCCUCAGCCACCUCCUGUGGUAAGCAGGGCUGCAGGGGGGUCCCAGUCUCGAGUUAAAAAUGCACCAAGUAUAUACAGAAAUUAAUAUCUUUAAUUCACUAUGCAAACUGCAGCCACUUCUCCAAAAGGAGGAGUAUUUUGUGUUACUGGAGGAGAGCAGCCAGAUCUCUCCAAGAGGGGCUCUAGGCAUUGCUCCUUUCCUCAUCUCCAGCACAGGCUCCUCCUGUCUCGUUGGCUUUGGCAGUGGUGGGACAGGGGUGGCUGGGCCGGGAGCCGCUGGUGAUGCUCUGCCCUGAGCUUUGGAACGGGCUCUAAAUGAGCCACGGGCUGUGCCCUGCAAGCAAAACCUGCUUCCAUUGACAAAGGGAAAAAUAUCUGAACGUUUGUCAUGGGCAAAUUAGUGUUUCACAGGACAGGCUGUGAGGAGAUGAACAGUGGUGGAGGCUUUCCCAUUGAGAGCUGACAUCCGUAUUCCAGCUGUGCUGCUUUAGGAGCACACAAUAAAACCUAUUAAAGGAUCUCUCGUGGGCCCCCU